rnacentral:lncRNA from 1 species
UGGAAACGGAAAACACAUUUUUCUCUUCUUUCGUCGUUUCAUUUCCUCGCAAAAAUUUUGUCAAUAGCACUUAUAACGAAAUAUUGUUAAUAUAAAAGUACAUUUUGUCACUCGCUUGGCGUUUGAGGUACACUUCUGAGAUCACGGGUAUUAAUCCACCACAUAUGACCAGGUUGUUGGUCACCUCUGUCAUAUUAGUUAGUUUCUGGGGGAAACUAGCGGUAGUUGAGAUAAAGUCCAAGUCGCUGGAAAGUUUACAUAUUUAUUUCACAUCCAUAUAUUUCAAAUAUUAAAACAUAACUGAAUAACAACAUACAAACAAAUAUAAAAUACAAAUUCAAAAGACUGAUUGACAUACGGAAAAUGAACCAAUCAAAUAUCUUUUUAUUAAAUAAUAUUAAUUCG